CCUACGGGUGGCAGCAGUGAGGAAUAUUGGUCAAUGGACGAGAGUCUGAACCAGCCAAGCCGCGUGAAGGAUGACUGCCCUAUGGGUUGUAAACUUCUUUUAUAUGGGAAUAAAAACUUCUACGCGUAGGCGUUUGAAUGUACCAUAUGAAUAAGGAUCGGCUAACUCCGUGCCAGCAGCCGCGGUAAUACGGAGGAUCCGAGCGUUAUCCGGAUUUAUUGGGGUUAAAGGGUGCGUAGGUGGAUUGUUAAGUCAGCUGUGAAAGUCUGCGGCUCAACCGUGGAAUUGCAGUUGAAACUGGCAGUCUUGAGUACAGUAGAGGUAGGCGGAAUGCGUGGUGUAGCGGUGAAAUGCUUAGAUAUCACGCAGAACUCCGAUUGCGAAGGCAGUUCACCGGACUGCAACUGACGCUGAGGCACGAAAGUGUGGGUAUCAAACAGGAUUAGAUACCCGUGUAGUC
rnacentral:rRNA from 1 species